rnacentral:sRNA from 1 species
CAGACGAAAGGUGAUACGUCCUUCGCCA